GGCUUUGUGGAAAAUUGUGCACAUCCUGCUACAAGCAUGAAAUUUGGCAUAGACCUUCCUCAACUAUUUCUCUUUCAUUUCAGAUAGGGAGGCAUUUGAAAAAAAAUGCCUCACUUCCGGUAAAAUCCAAAAUGGCGGACAUCAUACUUAAAUUAGCCCAAUAUCGAAGGCUAGUAUGUGAAAAGGUGUUAUUAACAUGCUACUAUCAUAAUAUUUGGUACAAACCUUUGUUUUGUACUACUUUUGGAUAUAUGAUAUAGAUAAGAUGUCUUCAAAAACCCUACUUCCGGUAAAAUCAAACAUGGCGGAUAUAGUACUACAAUAAGCUUAUUUUUAGGGAGGAUAAUUGAAAUGUGUUUUAAAGUAUUGCUACUAUCAUUAUAUUGUGCAGGAACCUUUCUUUGGUGCUUCUCAUGGAUACAAUGUAUAAGACAUAUGUCUUUAAAACCCUUACUUCCGGUAAUAUCCAAUAUGGCGGACAUAGAAAUAUUGAUAAUUUUUCAUUUUUAUAUUCAACUUUUUUCAAACUGUAAAUAAAAUGAUUUUUUUGGGGUUGUCAUUAAACUUUUGGCUUUAAGUCAUCCUCAAAACCACUAAUUCUAUUCAGCUGCAUAUGUUUCAAUACAAAAUUAACACUUCCGGUAAAAAAUCAAUAUGGCGAAAAUUACAAAGAUGAGUCCUCAAUCCAUAUAUUCGAUGUAGAGUUUUGGAUAGAUUGAUUAAAACAAAAUAAAAUCACUAAAGUUGUUAAACAUCUUUAGAAUGACUUAUUUA
rnacentral:lncRNA from 1 species